GCAAUCCCUGACUUCUGAUGAACCAGGCUGUACAAUACUCAGCCAGGCAACCAAAUGUACCCACAAUAACAAUAUUGCUGUCUAAUUCCUCUUCUGGUGUUCGGAUUAAUAAUUUGUACAAAUUCAGAAGAAAACAGCAAUCGAAUUAUCAAUUAUGCAAGUACAGUAGGCAUAAUAACUGUUUAACUUUGCAUAAUUUGUUGGAUAGCGAGGUUAUCUGGUUUGCAUCCAUGAAAAAAAAUGUAAAUGCUCGACCUGCAGGGGUUAAGACAGUCCCCGAGUGCUGUAUUAAGAAGACCUUCUCACGAGCACAGGUAAAAAAACCCAAAC
rnacentral:misc_RNA from 1 species